UACAUGGGGUGCAAACGUUGCUCGGAAUUAUUGGGCGUAAAGCGCACGUAGGCGGUUUGUUAAGUCGGAUGUGAAAUCCCUCGGCUCAACUGAGGAAGUGCAUCCGAAACUGCAGAGCUUGAGUGCCGGAGAGGGUGGCGGAAUUCCCCAAGUAGAGGUGAAAUUCGUAGAUAUGGGGAGGAACACCGGUGGCGAAGGCGGCCACCUGGACGGUAACUGACGCUGAGACGCGAAAGCGUGGGGAGCAAACAGG
rnacentral:rRNA from 1 species